UCUCCGUAGGUGAACCUGCGGAGGGAUCAUUACAGAGUUCUCGCCCUCGCGGGUAGAUCUCCCACCCACUGUUAUCGUUACUGUGUUGCUUUGGCGGGCCGCCGGGCCCCGCUCGGCCGCCGGCUCCGGCUGGCGCGCGCCCGCCAGAGGCCCAGCAAACUCUGAAUAUUAGUGUCGUCUGAGUACUAUAUAAUAGUUAAAACUUUCAACAACGGAUCUCUUGGUUCUG
rnacentral:misc_RNA from 1 species